rnacentral:lncRNA from 1 species
CACAAUACAAUAAUGCCAUAGGAAAAUCUUAACCUAUCUAUUAUUCAAAUUAAAUCUAGGUAGUCUACUUAUUUUGAGAGUCAGAAUUCAAGCUACCCUACCUAAGGCUUUGAAUGUUUAGAGUGCAGCUCUAUGUCUAGAGUGCUACGAGUAUUUUGUCAAAUACUCGCUUAUAUCAUUCGAUCACAAUUCAACUCAUCUAACUUUUUUAGAAUUAAAUCAAGUUUAUGGACAUACCAUACAUUUAUCUAUGUCUAAAAACUGCAUGCACACAUUUUAAAAUAGCGCAAAUCAAAUGAAGUAGUAAAUCUAAUCAUGAAAAUGCCUUGGUCAUUAAAGGAACUAAAGAUUCAUCCAGUAAUCUCAACCUGAUGAUAUUAGCUCAUGAAUUGAAAAUUAAAAUCCAAAAUGAAAGUAUCAUUCAACAACAUAUUUCCACAAUUAAAAUUCACAAAAAUCAAUUAAGAUAACGAAGGAAGAACUUCAAGAAGCUUUCUCUAAUCCAGCCCUCAACUCUAGUGCUGCAAUAUCUUGCGAAGCAUGGGGUUGAAUGCUUUUCCUUCUUCCUUGUGUUGUUGCUUUGUUCUUUAACUACUACCCUCUUUCCUUGCAUCUCUCGAUCUCCCACGAGAAAUUGUGUGAGAAAAAACUACCCCACCCCUUCCUUUUUUUUCUCUUUCUUCUUUUUAUAGGGUAGGUCCACCUCUCAACACACACUCUUUGCUCCCUCUUUUUUAGGUAGAUGUUUCUGGUAUAAGUACAGCUGGAUGAAAGUGACACGGAUUGAUAGCUGAGUCAACAUCUUCUUAAACUGGUCAUGGCAUUUGUGCUGGCAAUAUAUUCAACCUUUUGUCAUGAAAAAACUUCACUCAUUCAUUUUUUUCCUCCUUUUUGCACUUGCUAUAAACAACAUGCAAU